UUGACUUUAGUCUCGAUUUGUCCGUCAAUAUAAGCGCACAUCAGCAUGAAACACUUGCGCCUCUUUCUCGUUCUAUUGUUAGUCUGGUUAGCCAGUGCCCAAAACUUUUUAGGCGAUUUGCCUACGAUCCCGAACGUGUGCCACCUGCAGGGAGACUGGUGCUCCACCAGGUGCCAGAUAGCAGGCGGACGGGAUGGCAUUUGCAACCCGGCUGGACUCUGCACUUGUCAUCCCUUGUGAUUGUGUGAUUGUAGUGACACAUCGAAAUAAAAGAGGCCAGGAUCUUGAAAAUA
rnacentral:sRNA from 1 species